rnacentral:tRNA from 1 species
GGCCCUGAAGCUCAAUCGGACGAGCGCCGCACCGUUAAUGCGGAGCCUUCGGGUUCGAAUCCCGGCGGGGUCG